UGUGGGUGCCGAAUUCUUCACAAAACAAAACACAAAACCUUAUACUUUUAUUUUCUCUCAAAAUUUUCUUAACAAAAGUUGUCGGGAAUAUUGCGUAGAUCAUUAAUCUAUAUUUGCAUGUUCGUUUGAGAUCCAGCGAGUUUUGUCGCGGAAACCGGCGAGCAAAGGUUUUGAUAUUCGACGGGUGGUAUUUUUAUAUUUGGAAUAAGCGAGUACUGUGAGUGUGUUUACAACUUAUACUGCUAAAUAUUAGUAUUAAAAAUAUUGCGAACUGCUUUACAUGAUUUGCAAAUGCUUUAUUUUAUUUUGAAUUUAAAUCGCAUGAACUAUAUACAUAGUUUUGAAACCGAUUUAGAUUCAUUGAAACAUGCUUACUAUUGGGCGGCAAUAGUGCUGUGUGAUCACCGGUAUUGCAUUUAGAAUGGGUUGCAUGUGAAUGUGCUGUGUGAAUCCUGGCGACGGCCUGGAAAGUCAGGCGACGGCCUAGACUCUGUGUGAACAGAUCUACAGAGGCAACGGAAUAUAGACGACCAAAGGCAGUAAAGAGAAACUGCCGAGAUCUGAGAGGUUGAACCUUUUAUUAAAAAAAAGUGAAAUUGGCGACAGUAUUUAUGUACUGCCGAAAUCCGUUGUAUUGUAAGAAGAGUCUGGGACUUUCAAAUACGUAAAAUAAGAAUAAUCGGAUUUGACUGGCUAAAAGUACAAAAAGAGAAAAUAAAUACGGCCAAAGAAAAAUAAAAGGUUAACCCGAAUAUGAUGAAAUGAUGUGGAAUAUUUAUGUUUCCUGUGUUGAAAGCAUAUAGGAACAUGAAUCAUGGUUUAGGGUUUCAUAUGAAUCGGUAAUCUGGAAUGCAUUGCUUUCAUAUUAAUGUUUAUUAGUACAUGUUGUACGCAUUCACCAGUUUUUAUAACUGACCCCGUUGAAUUUAAUAUUUUUACAGGCGAGUAGUUUGAGGUGAGGAUUUCCAAUUUCUUGUUCCGGAAAUCCCUGGAUUGAAUAAGUGAGAAUGACUUUCCUUUAUGUGUCUAGAGUUGCAGUAGCUAGAAUAAUGAACGGUGAUACCUUAGUAGUCGUUGGACUUAUUUAUGCUUUAUAUUUUAUAAUGCUAAACUCUGAUAAUAUGUAAUAUGUGAAUGCUGUGCGAAAGUCCGAGCGACUGCACUUGAAUAAAAUGCGGCAAGCGCAUCUGCAUAAUGAAAUGCAGUUAAAUCCAUAAUGAAAUGGUCUGCAUAAUGAAAUGCAGUUAAGUCCAUUAGAGAAAUGGCCUGCAUAGUGAAAUGCAGUAAUUACCA